rnacentral:rRNA from 1 species
UAUUGCUCUUCAACGAGGAAUCUAAGGAAGUACAAGUCACUAGCUUGUGCUGAUUACGUCCCUGCCCUUUGUACACACCGCCCGUCGCUACUACCGAUUGAAUGGCUUAGUGAGGCCUUCGGAUUGAGGCUCGGAGACUGGCCACAUCACGAGGAGAUUUUGAAAAGUUGGUCAAACUUGGUCAUUUAGAGGAAGUAAAAGUCGUAACAAGGUUUCCGUAGGUGAACCUGCGGAAGGAGCAUUACCAAUUUUUAGCGGACCUGAUCUUUGAUCAUGGUCUCGCGAAAACUUGUAUUUAAAACCCCACUCUUAUAAAUUGAAUCAUUUUAUACUAUGUAUAUAAUAAAAUAAAGAUCACUUUCAACAACGGAUCUCUUGGCUCUCGCAUCGAUGAAGAACGUAGCGUUUUUGUUUAUAAGUAAUGUGAAUUGCAGAAUUCCGUGAAUCAUCGAAUCUUUGAGCGGGGGAUGGGGACUCUCUGGCCCCCCGGGGAGUAUGCCUGUUUGAGGGUCAGUAUUAAUAAAAAUCGGUGCGUUGCAAAUUUUUGUGACGUUUCCGGAGUUUGAGUUAUCUUAACUUCGGUUUUAAGAGGCUUAAAAUUGACCUUUUUUUGUGCAUUUUAGACGUACAUAAAUCUUUUUUUAUUCGUCUAUCCUAAUGCCAAAAUCUAUUAGAUGCGACCAUAUCUUGUGGUUUCGUGUCUAUAAAUUUUUCAUAAUUUGACCUCAAAUCAGGUAGGGAUACCCGCUGAACUUAAGCAUAUCAAUAAGCGGGAGGAAAAGAAAAUAACAAUGAUUCCCCUAGUAACUGCGAGUGAAGAGGGACAAGCUCAAAUUUUAAAUCUGUCGGGUUUUACCUGAUCGAGUUGUAAUUUGAAGAAGCGUUUUUCUGCGUUAUUGGUUCAGCCAAGUUCCUUAUUGAUUGGAGGCAUCAUGGAAGGGUGAUAAAUUCCCGUCGGUUGGAUCAUUGCCGUUUUUAUGAUUACCGCCUUUCUAAAGAAGUUCAAAGGUUGUUGGAAUUGCCAGCUUAAAAUGGAGGGUUAACUUUCUUCUCUUAGCUUAAAUACGGGCGAGAAGAUCCGAAUAGCGCACCAGUAUCCGUG